rnacentral:rRNA from 1 species
AACGAACGCUGGCGGCAUGCCUAACACAUGCAAGUCGAACGAGACCUUCGGGUCUAGUGGCGCACGGGUGCGUAACGCGUGGGAAUCUGCCCUUAGGUACGGGAUAACACAGGGAAACUUGUGCUAAUACCGUAUGAUGACGAAAGUCCAAAGAUUUAUCGCCUAAGGAUGAGCCCGCGUAGGAUUAGGUAGUUGGUGGGGUAAAGGCCUACCAAGCCGACGAUCCUUAGCUGGUCUGAGAGGAUGAUCAGCCACACUGGGACUGAGACACGGCCCAGACUCCUACGGGAGGCAGCAGUGGGGAAUAUUGGACAAUGGGCGAAAGCCUGAUCCAGCAAUGCCGCGUGAGUGAUGAAGGCCUUAGGGUCGUAAAGCUCUUUUACCAGGGAUGAUAAUGACAGUACCUGGAGAAUAAGCUCCGGCUAACUCCGUGCCAGCAGCCGCGGUAAUACGGAGGGAGCUAGCGUUGUUCGGAAUUACUGGGCGUAAAGCGUACGUAGGCGGUUAUUCAAGUCAGAGGUGAAAGCCCGGGGCUCAACCCCGGAACGGCCUUUGAAACUAGGUAGCUAGAAUCUUGGAGAGGUCAGUGGAAUUCCGAGUGUAGAGGUGAAAUUCGUAGAUAUUCGGAAGAACACCAGUGGCGAAGGCGACUGACUGGACAAGUAUUGACGCUGAGGUACGAAAGCGUGGUGAGCAAACAGGAUUAGAUACCCUGGUAGUCCACGCCGUAAACGAUGAUAACUAGCUGUCCGGGCACUUGGUGCCUGGGUGGCGCAGCUAACGCAUUAAGUUAUCCGCCUGGGGAGUACGGCCGCAAGGUUAAA